rnacentral:rRNA from 1 species
AUUGAACGCUGGCGGCAGGCCUAACACAUGCAAGUCGAGCGGUAGCACAGAGAGCUUGCUCUCGGGUGACGAGCGGCGGACGGGUGAGUAAUGUCUGGGAAACUGCCUGAUGGAGGGGGAUAACUACUGGAAACGGUAGCUAAUACCGCAUAACGUCGCAAGACCAAAGUGGGGGACCUUCGGGCCUCAUGCCAUCAGAUGUGCCCAGAUGGGAUUAGCUAGUAGGUGGGGUAACGGCUCACCUAGGCGACGAUCCCUAGCUGGUCUGAGAGGAUGACCAGCCACACUGGAACUGAGACACGGUCCAGACUCCUACGGGAGGCAGCAGUGGGGAAUAUUGCACAAUGGGCGCAAGCCUGAUGCAGCCAUGCCGCGUGUGUGAAGAAGGCCUUCGGGUUGUAAAGCACUUUCAGCGGGGAGGAAGGCGGUGAGGUUAAUAACCUUACCGAUUGACGUUACCCGCAGAAGAAGCACCGGCUAACUCCGUGCCAGCAGCCGCGGUAAUACGGAGGGUGCAAGCGUUAAUCGGAAUUACUGGGCGUAAAGCGCACGCAGGCGGUCUGUCAAGUCGGAUGUGAAAUCCCCGGGCUCAACCUGGGAACUGCAUUCGAAACUGGCAGGCUAGAGUCUUGUAGAGGGGGGUAGAAUUCCAGGUGUAGCGGUGAAAUGCGUAGAGAUCUGGAGGAAUACCGGUGGCGAAGGCG